rnacentral:rRNA from 1 species
CAGCCUACGGGACGCAGCAGUGAGGAAUAUUGGUCAAUGGACGAGAGUCUGAACCAGCCAAGUAGCGUGAAGGAUGAAUGCCCUAUGGGUUGUAAACUUCUUUUAUAUGGGAAUAAAGUUUUCCACGUGUGGAAUUUUGUAUGUACCAUAUGAAUAAGGAUCGGCUAACUCCGUGCCAGCAGCCGCGGUAAUACGGAGGAUCCGAGCGUUAUCCGGAUUUAUUGGGUUUAAAGGGAGCGGAGAUGGGUUGUUAAGUCAGUUGUGAAAGUUUGCGGGUCAACCGUAGAAUUGCAAUUGAUACUGGG